GGUCAAUGAUGAGAACUCAUAUGGUCUCAAAGAGAGAUGAUGACAUAAAAAUCUUGCUCAAUAGGAUUAUGCUGAGGACC
ensembl:snoRNA SNORD115 Small nucleolar RNA SNORD115